rnacentral:rRNA from 1 species
AGUCACUGACAUUAGAUACCCCCCGUAGUCCAGGGUGUAAACGCUGCAGACUUGGUGUUGGGAACCCUUCGGGGGGUGCUCAGUGCCGGAGAGAAGUUGUUAAGUCUGCUACUUGGGGGAGUACGUCCGCAAGGAUGAAACUUAAAGGAAUUGGCGGGGGAGCACCGCAACGGGAGGAGCGUGCGGUUUAAUUGGAUUCAACGCCGAAAAACUCACCAGCAGCGACUGUUACAUGAAAGUCAGGUUGAUGACCUUACUAGAUUUUUCAG